GCAAUAGUCCGUGUUAUUACAGUAUGUGCAUGUGGACUCAGUGUGUGUGUAGUAUGUGUAAUGAGCAUGGUGUCUUUUAGGGAUGGCAUACAGACCCACUGCGAUCAGAGGAGGCCUGAAACAAGGAUAUGGAACACUCGGAGGUUAUGGAGGAGGUACGUCCUUCCUAAAACUAUAAUGGGCAGAUAUCAGUUUCUACGUCUGAUGAAUUUAUAAUGCUUGCAUUCAUCAACACAAUCCUGCUAUUUUGGUCUUAGCUGCAAACCUUGGGACUGGCCUGGGGACUGGCCUGGGGACUGGCCUGGGGUCUGCUGGGCUGGGACUCGGCACAGGGUAUGGCCUAGGCAAUGGGCUGGGAGCAGCUUUAGGUUAUCCAGCAGGGAACCUCGGAGGAAGAGGUGAGAGCUGCUCAUUUGCUUUCGGUUCAGAAGGACUCUUGCAACACUUACUCACUGUUUGAUUUGGACAUUUUCUAGGUUACACCAGUAACGGCUAUGGAGCACAGCUAGGUGAGUGACCCCAAUCAAUUAACAUUAAAUGACACAUUCCAGUUUAAUGCCAUCUCUUUCCGACCUGAAGGUUGUGUAACAGAUUGGAUCCGAUCUAACCAAUCAGAAUGUGACCUUGUGCUGUGAUUAAAAUCUUCCACACGUGGUGAUAUGUGCUGUCCGUUUGCCAUGAUUAGGUGUCAUGUUUCUGAUGAAGAUGUGUGGGAGUGGGAGUGUAUGUGUCUACCAUGAGAGGCUUCCACUAAACAGGCAUUUACUUCUUCUUUCUGUAACCUUAACAUCUCUCUUGUUUUGUUGCCAGGUUAUGGGGCAGGAGGAUACCCUGCCGCUGGACGCGGAUACGGCCUUGGUGCUGCUGGUUAUCUUGGAGAUGGUUUAACUGACGGUUAUGGAGCAGGUAUCUAGAAAUUGUGAACUUUUGUUUCUCUCUAACAAGCACUAUAAUAAUCAUAUCUUGCUAAAGCUACCAGUUUUUUUGUUGUUUUUUGCUGAUACAGGUCUAGGGGCAGGUGGAUACCCACAGGGAGUUCGUGCAGGAAAGCAGAUUGGCUACAGCAACGGAUACGGCAGUGAGGUUUAUGGCACAGCAGACGGUUAUGGAGCAGGUGAGUCUGGACUGGAUAGGUACGAUGGAGCAUGUCCCAAUGUCACACUAACAUAUA
rnacentral:lncRNA from 1 species